UAUCAAGUUGAAACACCGGCUCCCGUAUGAUCGCCGAAGUUAAGCAAUGGCGAGUCUGGUCAGUACCUAGAUGGGUGAUCGCUUGAGAAUACCAGGCGCUGUAA